CUUAUGCUGCUGGGGAGGAUAAUGUGGACCAGUUUUGAGAAAGCAAGACACGAAGAAAGAGAAUCCUGGUUCAGUGCCCAUCUGGAAAGCUUCAUUCAUGCUGAUCUGAUUUAGUGCGUCGUUAAAUUGUGUUUUAUAAAUGCAUAAACACAGAAUUGAUAAGAUUUGUUCUAUAAUCCCCGCUGAACACACAUGUCAGUUACUGGGCUGGGAGCUGGGGACAGAUUGAUGGAUAAGAUUAAUGCAGGAGGUGGGUAUGGGUUCAUUUGUUCCUUUUUUUAUUCCUUUAUUUGUUCAUUCAUUUCACCAGCCAACUUUAAUGGAGGACCUAGCAAGUGCCAGGCAGCAUUCUGAGCCCUGGAAUCCGGUGAUGAACAUGACAGACAAGAUUCCUGCCCCCAAGGAGCUGCACCUUAAUAAGUCCCGCAAUGAAGGAGACAGAACAUAAACAGAGGAAAAUACACAAGAUGCCAGCUUGUGAGAAGUGCUAGCAAAAAAAGACACAAGUAUGUCCAGAGAGUCUGAGGUGUAUACAGCUCAUUUCACCAAUGAAAAGGCACUGGCAACAUCUCCUAUGCAGAUUAGCCGCAGCCUCCGGUGCCGAUUUAGCAAAGCCAUGAUUGACCAGAUCCGAGGCUCGCUGCCCUGUGGAGCUGCUUCCUAAUUAUGUUACUUCAAGCACCCAUCCCCAGGGUGCAGGUUAAAGUUAACCAGCACACUAAUGUACAUCAAGCAGUGUAGGCGGAGGCGCAGUUCUGAAGACAGUCACCAAUACGCGGCAAAUACCUAUUGUGAGAUCCAUCACCUGCUGGAUGGGCCUGCUCCCUCUACCACUCCCCUCCCACCUGCGCCUGGGUUGGGGAACUGGCCCCUUGCUAACUAGUCUAAUCCCCUUCAGUUGGUCACAAGCCCUGUGGAGGUGGGAAGGAGACAGGACUGGGAAGGCAGUGAGGGAGGGCACGAUGUGACUUCAGGGACAGCAGGAGCCUGAGUCUGGAGUUUGGGCUGCCCUAAUUUGCUGUGUGACCUUGAAAGCCCCUUCCCCUUUUAAGAAUGGGCUCAUCUCUUUUCUAAAGAAGACAUUCCAUGGGAGAGGUGGUGCCAUGGGAGUGUCACCUGGGAGGCUGCAGGCCUGCCCUAGGGCCCAGUCAUUCUGGAGGAAGCCCUUGUGGGCUAGGAGACGGCAGGCUCCGCCUCUGACCUAUUGGUUUCCCUCUGUCUGCCACUGUCCAGAGAUCAGAAUCCUGGGUCCUCUGGCACGGGCAUCCACUCUCACCAAGACAGACAGGAUGGAGCCUCUUCCUUAGGGCCUUGAGGCUUCACCACAGUCGUUGCAGUCUGGGGACUAUUGAACCAGACUGACUCUGGUCCUGGAGGGUGACCGUGGACAUCGACCCUCCCUGAACCUGAGUUCUCAUCAAUGGGAUGGAAAGAUCAAUAUGCCUGUCCUAGAUUUCUCAAAGGGCCGGUGUGGUGCUCAGUUGAGAGGUGCAUGUGCAGGACAGCGUGGGCAGCAAUAGGUGGGGGUGUGGGGAGCUGCCUGAGCCGGGCAGAUGCUCAGGAGGAAGGGGUAGAGGGGAAGCUGCUGGGAGUGGGGAGAGACACUUGAGAUGCACGUGGAAGGAACCCAGGGCUGAGCCAGCAGAGGAAAGAGGGUGGGAGGGUAGCCAGGUGGGAGGGCAGGAGGAGCCAAGAUAUGGAGGCUGAAAGCAGCGCAGUGGGCUUGGGGGAUGCACAGGGCACCCGCUGCCCAGAGAGGUUCCAGUUAGUCCUCCGCCUAAGAAGUGCCCCCAUUGUUCCAGGACUCCUUCCCUCCUUUUCUCCUGCCCUCAUUCCUCCCUUCCUGCCUCUUUUUCCCUCCGCCCUCCCUUUCUUCUUUUUCUUUUUUUCCUUCUCUUCUUCCUGCUUCCUUCACUAGUAGUUACUGGCACCCACUAUGUACCAGCCACUGUGCUGGGCACGGAUGGACACACAUCAGCCCCUGCCCGCAUGGUGGAACAGGGAUAUGGGAGAGAAAGACAACAAACAACUCGGUGUACAAAUAGUCAACUACAGUGGAAAAGCAAAGAUUAAAUCCUCAUACCUCUCUGGAAAAGUGGAGGGGACCACAUUCCAGCAUCUGGUGCCUUGUUUGCCCCAAACAUGACUUCAAGUGAAUCGACAUAAUACUCUUCCAGAGGGAAAGCAGAACCAUCUGCAGGGCUGAGGGACCAAGAAACACAGUGAGGAAUUCCACAGGAGGCCCACGCGGAGGGAUGUGACACCCCAGGUGGACUCUAGGGGACGCUCACUUGGAACUUGCAUCACCCGGAACUGUGUCUGCCACUGUGACUUCAGAGCAGCACAGACCUGAGGUGGAUCCAGCAAUGCCCACAACUGUCCAACAAUUUCACUUUUCCGAGGCUCAGUUUCCAUGUGGAAAAUGGACUGGCUCUGAGUAUUAAAUGAGGAUGAAUGUCCAUAUGCCUCACCCCUUUCUUCAUGAAAGGAAGACACCUCUGGGACUCAGACAAAUGGCCAAUAACAUCUAGUCUUUAUUCAGUCCUAACUGCAUGACAAUACAACUAGCGUAACAGUCAUCAACAUAAGGAAUGCUCUCAAUAUUGCUCGAUGCCCUGUGUGCUAUCACUAAUAGCAACAACUGCUGUUCAUCUAUGCCACGAUAUGCACCAAAUCUACACCACUCCUUUAAGGUGUCACUGUCUCCAUUCCACAGAUGAGAAAACAGCCUCCAGAAGAGGAAAGUGUAGAUGAGUUAAUUUUUCCCUGCCCAACGUUGAUUCCCAUUCCUUCUGAUCAUGGUGCCCUGACUUCUUUGGGAGAACUCCCUCUUCUCUGUGACGGGCUGACUGGUGGGAUUAUCAGUCAAGGUGCCCACCUCCUCUAGCUCUCCCCAUCUCUCUCAGUCUCUGGAGUUUCUGUUUCAAGCAUAAGGACAGAAGAUUAGAAAUGGCUGAAGCUGAUUUGCCCCAGGAGGAGGGUGGGGUCGUGUCCUGAGGAGACGCUCUUGUGGGACCCUGCUUCUUGGACUCCUUGGAUCCCAGCCCCACCCCACCCCCAGACAGCCUUAUUCUGCCUUCAGAGUCUGGUCCUUUGCUUUCCUUUAAAUUCUGAGACCCUCUUGGGUCUGCCCUUUCCCAUGUAGGUUACAGCCAGAUUGGUUUCUGUUGCUUGCAUCCCUCAAACUCUGCCUGACACAGGAAGUGACUCCUCCAGGUCAUCCAGCCCAUGAGUGGCAUAGUCAGAGGAAGCCCUCCGUCACCAGGCUCUCAAGCCAGUGCUCUCUCCAUCAUGCCACAUGGCUGGCCUUGGGGUGGUCCUGCCAUAGGGAGAGCUUUCUGAGAUGGGUCAGGGGGCAGAUUAUCAUCAAAGACCUGGUGAUGGAAAGACACAUGGCAUGGCCUCAUGGUCAUGGAGCCUGCAUGGAGGCCAACAUGCUGGAGGAGAGCUUUGAAGGCAUCCACGGAAGCAGAUGACAGGAGCCUGAAAGCCAUGUGUGGCCACACACCUGCUUCUGACAUAAUUAAUGAGACAUCUAUAUUGUUCCUGUCAGUGAGCUUCUUUGCUACCCAAGCCCUUAGUUCAUCAUGUAUUUUUUAAAGCAAAAAUGGAGGCCUUCCUGAAACAGCCUCCCUCAUUUUGCUUAAUAAUGCUGCAGUAUUGACGUUCUAUGAGGGUGAGGUGACACCAUCUCAGGAUGAUGCACUAGACCCCCAGUGAUUGAUGGCUAUACUUUUUUUUACUGACACUUUGAAAAGAAAGGGCCCCUCUCAGAUUACUGAGCAAGUGGUUAGCCUUGGACCUUUCACUAAUGGCAACCAUAAUUUCAUGACUUAUUUUACCGUGCCAUCUUGUAUGAUUCUAGUUUGUAUGAUUUCCUCACUUUUCAGAUGUGGAAUCUGAGGCUCAGAGAGGCUAAGUAACUUGCUUAAGUUCACACAGCUCGUAAGCGAAGGAGACAGAGAUAAGAUCCCUGAGGUUAUUGAAGUUAUUGAAAGAAUAGCUUGCUCCUUUGCCAUGCCCUCCCCUCCUCCCUGGUACCUGCUGGAAUUCUCAUCUGCACCCUGGGUUGCUCUGGGAGUCACUGGCUGCCCUCUUCCUUGGGACCCACUCUUCUAGGUUGCUGCCAGGACAGGGCAGUAAGUGGGCUUCAAACACCAGCAAGGCCCUUCAGCUUGGCUCAGGGUCUUGCCUCCUGCCAAGGUGCCUUGCUUUGUUCUCAUGCCCAAAGUGAGAGCUAACCUUGGCACACUGUUUACAGCUGUGCCUCUCUGGUCAGGAUCGAGGAGUAGAGCGUUGAUGCCCAUGCCUACCAUGGCACAGCUUCAGCUAACAUGAGCCAGAGCCCAUGAGCCCAAGGCUCUUGCCCCUUCUGGUCUCUAGAGGUCAUGAGCCCACGACUCUUCCCCCUGCUGGUCUGUAGAGCUCAUGAGCCCAUGGCUCUUCUCUCCCCUGGACUCUGGAGCUUAUAAGCCUAUGGUUCUUCUCCCUGCUGGUCUCUGGAGCCCAUGAGCUCACAGCCCUCCUCCCUCCUGGUCUCUGGAGCCCAUGAGCCCAUGACUCUUCUCCCUGCUGGUCUCUGGAUCCUAUGAGCCCACGGUCCUCCUCCCUGCUGGUCUCUGCUCUUCGCCCUGCUGGUCUCUAGAGCUCAUGAGCCCAUGGCCCUCCUCCCUGCUGGUCUCUGCUCUUCUCCCUUCUGGUCCCAGGAGCUCAUGAGCCCAUGGCUCUUCUCCCUGCUGGUCUCUAGAGUUCAUGAGCCCACAGCCCUCCUCCCUGCUGGUCUCUGGAGCCCAUGAGCCCAUGGCUCUUCUCCCUGCUGGUCUGUGCUCUUCUCCCUUCUGCUGGAGCUCUUCUUCCCUGGACCUCAUGAGCCCAUGGCUUUUCUCCCUGCUGGGCUCUACAGCCCCCUUUCUCUCCCCACAUAUCUCUCCAGGACGCCUCUUCCUAUUUGUCCAGAGAAUAUUCCAAGACUCGCCUUUGCCUGUCUCUGGGACAGCAAUCCACAGAGAAGUCUGAGUCGUGGUAGGUGCAAACCCAUGGAAUUCUCUUUGCCCCCAACCCUGCUGUGGCCACUUUCACACCCUCUGUCAGAACGCGCCUCUCCAGCAGCGUAGGGCAGCCAGGCAGCCCUUAAUGGUAAUAGCUGUAACUACAGCCAAUUUCCAAUAAUUGGCGGCCUUUGCCAGGGAAUUCCUGCCUGUCCCAGCAGCUCCUUCUUGCUGCCUUUGAUCUCUACCAGUCUCUGUGAGACACAAAAUAAUGUUGUCAUCUUCAAUUACUCCAAGGGACAGAGUGGCCUUGACCUCGCCACCAACGUCCCCAGCCCACAUGGGGUAGUGGCAGCCAUGAGGGAGGCUGGGCCGUGGACAAGGGGAGUCCCCAGGCCCAUUCAUGGGGUUGGUGCUUCUGGAAACCCCACUGCUACUAUGUGUGAAGAUGGGCCCCCCAGCUGAGGGUGUGGAGAGCAUGCCGGCAGAUACUAACAAGCACAGGCUGUACAGGUUGCCAGACGCCUCCUUUGUGCUAGGCACAUGCCUUCUCUGAUCCUCUAAGCAACUCCUUUGCCAGGAUAUAUUAUUAUCUCCAUUUUACGAAGGAGGAAACUCAGGCUCAGAGAUAGUCACAGGCAUGGCCAGUGGGUGGUGGGGGCAGUUCAGCCCUGGGUGCUGGGCUCAGGUUCAGAGCUUUUUCCAUGUGGCACAGCUCCCCGGGUCUGUGAAUGAGACGCACGCUCCACCUUCCCUACAGGCUCUUGAGUUCCUUGAGGACAGAAACUGGGUGUCCUUCGGAUCCACCGCCUCCCAGGGCUGCUAGCACAGAGCUGGGUGUGGUGUAAAUGCUCAGCCGACCCUUGUCAAGCCCAGGGGUCAGUUCCUUGGUCCUCUUCUUUUAUCAGUUACACUUACUCCUUGGUUAUCUCAUCUAAGCUCGGAGCUUUAUUUCCCCACCUAUACACUGAUAACUCCCACCUUUACAUCUUCCCAUAGCCAACUGCAGGUGUGAUAUCUAGCAGGUGUCUCAAAUUCAACUCGUCCCAAACUGGCCUCCUUAUUUUUUCUCCAAAACCAGCUCUUCCACAAUUUUCCUGAUCUUUGUAUUUGGGUUCUCUAACUUUGCAGUUACUCUGGCUAAAAACCGUGGGGUCAUUCUCAUCUCCUUCAUUUCUCAGGUAUUUUACCUUCAAUCCACAAGGACAUCUUGUCAGUUUAACCUCAAAAAAAAUCUAUAAUCCAACUAGUUCUUCCUGCCUUCACUGCCACCAUCAGCUCUCACUGGCAUCACUGCCAUGGCUUCCUGACCUGUCUGCCUACAUCCAUCCCUGCUCCCCUGCAUCCUGUUAACCACUAAGGUGAUGAUGCUUCUCUGCCCCAGCCCUCUUGUGGCCCCUCAUCUCUCCCAUGGGGAGAUUCACUGAGGCCACUGACAUAGUGCCUGUCAUUCAUGAAAGGGGACUGCUAUGGUGAAUGGAAUGAUAAAGGCCAUAGCAUGGUCAUGGAAACACAGGGCAGAGGGGACUCAUUCCAACCAUUGGAAGGAGAGGGCUUCCAGAAGGAGGCAUCAUUGGUUCUAAGCUUUGAACCCUGAGUCUGUCUAUUAUGUUGUCUAGAGACAUGCAGAUAAUAGUGCCUGUAACGCUGCACUCUGGCGAGGGUGUCCACCGAGGGCUGAUUCCACCAGACAGUCUGUCCCAGCUCUCUCUGUGCUCCUGUGUGCCAGCACUGGGUAGGUUCUCAGGUUGCCCAGGGCCCAACAUCCUCAUUGCAGAAGCAGAUAUUCCAGCGGGCUCAACAGAAGCAACUAUGCACACGAGAAUGCUCCUUGAGAGUGGCAUAAGGGCUGUUACUAUUAUUAUUUAUUUAAUAUAAUAUAACAAUAAAUUCCUUCACCUGCUUCUUUCUCAUCCAUUGGUGUGAGCUCAAAGGAUGCAGAUCUUUUUUUUUUCUUUUCUUUUCUUUUUUUUUUUUUUGGAGAUGGAGUUUUUCUCUUCUUGCCCAAGCUGGAGUGCCAUGGCGCUAUCUUGGCUCACUGCAACCUCCGCCUCCCAGGUUCAAGCGAUUCUCUUGCCUUAGCCUUCUGAGUAGCUGGGAUUACAGGCACACGCCAGGACGUCCGGCUAAUUUUUUGUAUCUUUAGUAGAAAAAGGUUUCACCAUGUUAGCUAGGCUGGUCUCGAACUCCUGACCUCAGGUGAUCUGCCUGCCUUGGCCUCCCAAAGUUCUGGGAUUAUAGGCAUGAGCCACAGCACCUGGCCAGAUCAUUUUUAAUGUUAGCCAGAACUAAGGAAGGGCCCCGUUUCAACUGCAAAAAGUCCAGACCAGCAGAGUUGAGCUUCACUCCUCCUCCACUUUCUGGGAUCUGGUCCCAUGCGUGCUACAUGGAUGAUCUCACUUCUUUUUCAUGUAGUCCUGCAAGGUAGGUACUACUGUCACCACUUUACAGGCUGGGUGGUGAAGCCACCUGCUCACAGUGCCACCGCCAGUGAAGGGCAGAGCCAAGACAGGAAUCAGGUCUGUCUGUCACCAAAGUGCCAUGUUCUUAGCCACUAUACUGCACUACAGCCUGGGAGACUUGCAGAGCCACGGGGAAGUCACACGUGGAUCUUUCUUUCUAGGCUGAUCCAUGACCUACCUCUCAGUUCCUGGGCAGGUGAGUGCCGACCCGAAGUGCUUGCUCCGUGGGCUUGUCCUGCCUUGCACCCACUGCAAUGCCUUCCAGGUUGAGGUGCGCUGGGCACACGCCCAGAGACCUUUGCACUGCCGUUUGAAAAGUUAUUUAAUGAGAAACUUUUUGUACUUCUCUUGUCCUCUUGCCAGAGGCUUCUGUAUACAUAACUCUGCAAACUGCUCUGCUAUUUGCUCAUAGAAGUCAAGUUGAUUUUUAGUCUCUCUUCCUUCUAUGUAGAUCCCUCUAAAUAGUUCUAUGGCCAUUUCCUUUUUUAUAACUAUAUAUCUUUAUAACUAUGUCUUCCUUUAUUUAUAGGUGUAUGUAGGUGCUAUUCUUUCUCCUUUAUUUAUAAGCAUUUCAACAGAGGACCAGGAUCUGAAGCCAAAAAGUGAGAAUUAUCUGGGUCUUUUAGUUUUUUUGUUUUUUAAUAUUUAUGGGUACAUAGUAGGUAUAUAUAUUUGUGUGGUACAUAAGAUAUAUGGAUACGGAGAAUUGCCUGUUUAUUCAUCGAAGACCUAGAAAAUAAUUCACAGAGAGCAGGUCAGGUUCAAUGUGAAGCUUCCAUAAAGUCAAAUUCC
rnacentral:lncRNA from 10 species